GAUGAACGCUAGCGGCAGGCUUAACACAUGCAAGUCGAGGGGUAGCAGGGAGCUUGCUCCGCUGACGACCGGCGAACGGGUGCGUAACGCGUAUAGAAUCUACCUCUUACUAAGGGAUAGCCCAGAGAAAUUUGGAUUAAUAUCUUAUAGUAUGUUAACUUGGCAUCAAGAUAACAUUAAAGGUUACGGUAAGAGAUGACUAUGCGUCCUAUUAGCUAGAUGGUGUGGUAACGGCACACCAUGGCAACGAUAGGUAGGGGCCCUGAGAGGGGGAUCCCCCACACUGGUACUGAGACACGGACCAGACUCCUACGGGAGGCAGCAGUGAGGAAUAUUGGACAAUGGAGGCAACUCUGAUCCAGCCAUGCCGCGUGCAGGAAGACUGCCCUAUGGGUUGUAAACUGCUUUUAUACAGGAAGAAACACUCUCACGUGUGAGAGCUGACGGUAC
rnacentral:rRNA from 1 species